UUCACGGGGUAAUUUUUAUACAACCCGUGAUCUCUUAGUGGCAUCUAUGGUGCGAGAAUAAAACAUCCAAAGUGAAACGAAAUCCGAAACAAUCAAAGUUAAAAAUGUGCUAAUGUGAACUGCAUUGAAUCGGUAGCUCAAACGAAAUAAAUUCUUUCUCUUAUAAAAGUAAAUUAAUAAUUAGAGCGGCCUAAUUAGCACCUUCAAUCGCAGAGUGAGAACCAAAAAACAAUCUAAUUCAUAAAUUUGAAAUCUACAGGCAGGAAAAACCUUUCAAAAAAAUGGUAAAAAAAACAGUGCUGAGAAAGAGAAUUGAAGGGAAUGGAGAGUUUAUGGUGGCAGCCUUGAAAAAUCACCUUUCACACCGCCUAGAGCUCCCGCUUCUCUCGCUUAUUUUUUGUAAAUUCUUUUUUUUUUUUACCCACAAUUAACAGUUCAAUGAACCAGGUUGCCGCCGAUUCUUCGCAGUCCCUUGAAGUUCCAGCCCAGCGGAUGGAAGAAGAAACGAACUCACAAAGUACCAAUCUCCCGAAGAAUAGCACAAAGCCCAUGGAUAAUAGCCCAAUGGAGCUGUUGGGCAUGCCAUCGCUACAACAACAACAAAAAAAAAAGAAGAAAAGAUACAUACAGAUACAAAAAAAUAAAGGCUAAGCGAGGUUUGCUGAAAUUUCUGCACUCCGCCGGGCGAGAAUCAAAUAAAUUCCGGCACAAAACUCUUUUUCCCUUCUGGCCAAGUUCCGCUCGAGCACAUUUAUGCGGAAAAAGAGGGGUCUUUUUAAUGAUGACGCUUCCUGUUGGCCGGCCACACAUAUAUUUAUGAGACACCUUGGCGUUGAUAAGUCCCAGACGAAGCUUCAAUUGAAAUUUGUACUUAAUUAAGUCUGGUAUGGCGAACCGGCUUUUCUUUGAUCAUCGACUGUCAAGGAAUUCUGAGAAUUCGUCAAGUUGACUACACUUAGGAGCAAUUAUUCACUUAGGCUUAAAAACAUUAUUUUUUAAACGCGAGAAAAUAGAAUUUAUAAAUAUUUUCUCAAAAUAAAAGGUGGGAGAACAAUUGUAGAAAGAAAACACUGUAGAACUGAAGAAAUUCUACAGCAAACCUAUCUAUAAGAUUAACAUAUUCGACUAUUUCGACUUCUUUAAUUAAUACUUUUGUAAAUAUGUAUAAUUCUGAAAAUAAUUUUUUGAAAUCAUAAAAAAAUCAUAAAAUUGUAUUAGUUUUCCAAUAAGUCAGGCAAGCAAAUAAAUAAAUUUACAAUAUUAAUUUGGA